GAUGUCACGGAUCGCAAGAUCAUGACUUGAGACUUGGCAUGACACGGGAAUGUCAUGGCACAAGGUGGGAAAAUGAGAUAGACUUAUGGCAAAUAAGGUCUAUGCUUCGGCAAUAUAUGGCGAUGAGUGCGUCGCCAAAUUCAGUGGGGGAGUGAUUUACACUUAACGCGGUCGCGUUCGAUCCGUCCCGGUAGCGAUCGCAAGAUAGCGCGGGUAACGCGUUUCUGAAGGAUGGAAUAGCUUGCGAUAGGGGACGCAAGCAGAUUUGGUAAAGGUCGCAGGUAGAUUCGGGCUGGGGAUGCAUAGAUGACUUUGGGGCAGAAUGCAUGCUGCCUAGAUCGUGCAAUUUUCCAGGGCGUUAAUGGGGUUUUUCUAAGUCCCGACCCAGCCAUUUUAGGAGGAAAAAUAUAUGGACCUGCAGCGGGAUAUUUUGAGGAUGCAAGUGGACAACUUGCACAACUUGUCCACUUGUGUGACACUUGCAAGCUAGGCGCGAGUUGUAGGCAAGCUAAGCACGAGUUGGCAAGGAUAAAUAUCAACGGUACAAGCUAGACGCGAGUUGUAUGCAAGCUAGGCACGAGUUGGCGACAACUUGCAAGGCAAGUUGUAAUACCAUCCACUUGAAGAUAACUAAGGAUGAGUUGGCGACAACCAAGCACGAGGUGGCGACAACCAAGCGCAAGUUGUAAAGUGGAAGGUUAAGGAGGUUUAAGUUUUCUAUAAAUAGAGAGGUAGUCUCAUUUGUAAAUGGUAUGGAGUAGAGGUUAGAGAGUGUAGAGAAUAUAAGAGUGAAGAGAGUUUAUUCAUUAGAGAGAUUGUAAAGUUUUUCCUUUCAUUUAUACAAAGAAAGUUUCCCCAUCUUUACUUGUUUUCCAUAUAUUACUUACUUCAAAAUUCUCUUCUCAACGUGGGUAUAAUUUAGCCUCAUUGGUUAAAUUAUUUGUGAGCGUAGAAAGGCUGACUUAAUGUUUUCUCGUGAGGUGCGGGAAUUGUAGAACGUUAAGGCCGCACGGUUCUAGUUUGUUCGGGUGUAACGAAACUAGGCCCGUGACAUAGAGCUAGCUUCCACAUAAUAUUUGGAACCUAUAGCCUUAGCCGUUUAAACUCUUAAUAGAAGAUCAUAAUUCAAAUUAGAUUUCUUCUUGUUACCGGGAUAGAUGAAUUCUUAUAAAUCCACCAGAAACACAGGUUAGCCGCCUAAUAGAUCACUGUGAUGCUAAGCAGCACAUGAUCAGCCCACAUGGUUAGCAAAUCAUUUUCACAUCUGGGGGAAAGGUGAAGGAUAAGUGUUCCCAUAAAUUUCAUCAAGAAACUAAUGAUUGAGAUGAUUAGGCAAUCAUUUUCAUAAAGGCAUGUGGCCAUUCCGCUCCACGGUGUAGAAGAAAGUUUGAAGGAUGGAUUAGUAAGAAACAUUUCAUUUAUAAGAAAGCAUGUAGUUGAGGAAACUAAUGAGAAUGGAUGAACUUCCGCCAAAAGCCUAAGGAAUUUCCACUCAGAAAUGCUGACGGCUUUCCUGCUAAAAAUACUCAAUGCUAUAUUGCCACCUGGAGAUAUAGUAACAGCCAACUUAGGAUAACACUGAACAAGAUCCAGAGCCCCAUCUGCAGAAAUACACAGAUAAGUACAUGAUCAUCAAUCCACAUCACAACAUAAAUGCAACAUUUUCCAUAAAUUCUCUGUUUCCAAGAACAGCAAUUGAAUAGCUAAAGUUCUUAUUACACUGGCAUAUGUUAUAAUGUUAUUUACAACUGUUAAACAAGCGUAUGAUCAGUACUUAAAAGUAAAAUCACGGAUUAGAAUCAAAAUAUACUAGCACUCUCCCUAUUACCUUUCAUCGCAGCUUGAACGGAAAAUCCAUUUAUAGAAAUUUAAGUGAAUUUUUAUUGCCUGAACUCUGUUUCCGGCGGCUCACAUUCCCUGCAAAACUCCCUUGAGCAGCUGAACAUCCAAACGAGAUGAAGGGUUCGGCGAACCUAGCUAAGUCUUCCAACUUCCGUGGAGUUUACAGAGACUUGACUGACUUCCAUCUUCGGUCUUCGAUGUGGAAACUGGAAACUAAGAGAAAAUGAAAUGUUUUAGUUGAUACCAUGUGGCAAUGUCAAACUUUCACGCAAUUUUUAGAAGUUGAAAAUAAACAUAGAUCCGGAAAUUCCUGUAUAAGGCUACCUUUCGAACUGCUAAUGAAUCCAUGAACAGACAAGAGACAACCUGACGAAUUGAAACAUCUUAAUAGCCAGAGAAAAAGAAAACAAAAACGAUUCCUGCA
rnacentral:lncRNA from 1 species